rnacentral:tRNA from 1 species
ACCUGGGUGGCUCAGUCGGUUGGGCGUCUGACUUCAGCUCAGGUCAAGAUCUCACGGUUUGUGGGUUUAAGCCCCAUUUCAGGCU